rnacentral:rRNA from 1 species
AGGACGAACGCUGGCGGCGUGCCUAACACAUGCAAGUCGAACGCCCUCCAUUCGGUAGCAAUACCGAUGAAGAGGGAGUGGCGAACGGGUGAGUAGCACGUGAGCAACCUGCCCCGAAGACUGGGACAACACCGGGAAACCGGUGCUAAUACCGGAUAUCCCUAUCAGACCGCAUGAUCUGAUAAGGAGAUGGAUUCCGCUUCGGGAGGGGCUCGCGGCCUAUCAGCUAGUUGGUGAGGUAAUAGCUCACCAAGGCAUCGACGGGUAGCUGGUCUGAGAGGACGAUCAGCCACACUGGGACUGAGACACGGCCCAGACUCCUACGGGAGGCAGC